rnacentral:lncRNA from 1 species
GGAAAAAGGAAGAAAUAUACUUGUAGAGUAAGUUCAUUCCAGAGAUCGAUUCACACUUAAAAUAUUUAUAACGCCAACUGAUGAUGUAAAAAAAAGUCAGGGAACAGACUUUAUGAUGUCAUUGAUGAUAUUUGCUAACCCAAAAAGCAGCUGUAGGAUAAAUAAUUAGUUUCAUUAUGAAGGAAACCUUGAAAACAUAUGGCAGCUUUUCACCAUCUACUUGUACAAGGGAAAUAGGAAGGCAAGUUACAGCGCUGAAAUAAGCUCUUAGACCAAGCAUUCUAAUUAACCAAGUCCUAAUCCCAAUAAUUAAAAUGGAAACUACGUUUAAAAGCAAAACACAAUAAGGGAAAUAAAUGUCUUCCAUUUUGGGAUUUCUCUUCUUCGUUAAUCAAGCACAGUGAGACAUACUGUCCUCACUAACAGGCUGGGGAGAAGCAGCCUGGCAGGCGGAGGUGGAGCCUGUGAUGUAACUGCAGUGGGUCUUUGUUGGAAAAGCCUUUCCUAAAUGUGAAACAUCUGUAAAUUGACGCUUCAGCUUCACCGUGUAUGCACUGGCAAGAGAAAAGAGUUGCCGCUUUUGGCAUUGUGUGUAUCUUGAAGGCUUGAAAUCUUAAUCAACAGAAGAAUUCCUCACAGGUCGUUUAGAGACAUACCUGUCUCAGGAAUGGAAGAAAAAGCGGGUUUCUUUUGCAAAGGAGUACCAUUUUAGAGUGGUAACUGCUGCCUGUGGCUGUUUACUGAUUAAUGGUGAUGGUGCAAUGAAAGUUAUAACCCAAAGUCUAAGGAAAAAUGCCCUACAGCUUGUUCCAAUCCUGGAAGUUCUUUACAUUAAUGCUCUCUUCCUUCAGUGCUCCUGAGAGGAAUUACAGAAAAGAUAUUAAUUUCUUAUUCCCAGGAGAGAAUUAGGGAGAGAUAAAAACCUCCCAAUGUAGAGGGAUACAACACUGUGCCUUCCUCCAAAUUUGAACUAGACUGAUCCUCAGAGACAACUUCUAGGGAGAGAACGACUAAGUCCUCUGUAACUACCUCGUUUAAUAGGACGAUAAUGAAUUAAGAUGUUUAUCACAACGCAAGCACACUACCUGUUUUCCACCAUAUUGGCAGCCCCAGUUAAGGACCGUUAAGCUACGGGCACAACACGCACACUGCAGAGAUGCAGAACAAUGCCUGGAUGCCUGCCCAAAACUGGUCUCUCCAAAUGACGGACUCAAUUUAUGGUUCCAAUCUAAAGCUCAUCCGGAGUUAGCAGCGUCAUUUUCCUAGUUGCUGUGGGAAAGGGAUGAAAUUUGGAAAUCUCAAGGCACGGAGCUUCCACCUGCCUGUGCAGAACUGAAAGGCUGACAAACAUAUUCAUUAAACUUGAUCUGAA